rnacentral:rRNA from 1 species
AUUGAACGCUGGCGGCAGGCCUAACACAUGCAAGUCGAACGAGUGGCGGACGGGUGAGUAAUGUCUGGGAAACUGCCCGCUGGAGGGGGAUAACUACUGGAAACGGUAGCUAAUACCGCAUACCAUCGGAUGUGCCCAGAUGGGAUUAGCUUGUAGGUGAGGUAACGGCUCACCUCGGCGACGAUCCCUAGCUGGUCUGAGAGGAUGACCAUCCACACUGGAACUGAGAGACGGUCCAGACUCCUACGGGAGGCAGCAGUGGGGAAUAUUGGACAAUGGGCGAAAUCCAGAUCCAGCCAAGCCGCGUGUGUGAAGAAGGUCUUCGGAUUGUAAAGCACUUUAAGUUGGGAGGCGUUGCCAACAGAAUAAGCACCGGCUAACGUCGUGCCAGCAGCCGCGGUAAUUC